rnacentral:rRNA from 1 species
UACGGAGGGGGCUAGCGUUGUUCGGAAUUACUGGGCGUAAAGCGCGCGUAGGCGGAUUGAAAAGUCAGAGGUGAAAUCCCAGGGCUCAACCUUGGAACUGCCUUUGAAACUAUCAGUCUUGAGUUCGAGAGAGGUGAGUGGAAUUCCGAGUGUAGAGGUGAAAUUCGUAGAUAUUCGGAGGAACACCAGUGGCGAAGGCGGCUCACUGGCUCGAUACUGACGCUGAGGUGCGAAAGUGUGGGGAGCAAAC